rnacentral:lncRNA from 1 species
GUUCUCUAGACUUUUUUUUUUUUUUUUUUUUUACCAGACAGAUCCUUCUUGUUGCUCAGAAUAUAAUUUCAGUGAGGCCCUUCUCCUUAUUGCUUCCUUAACCUCCUGAGAGAGAAAACUGUCAGAAAAGAGAAUUAAGAAUUAAAGCAAGUGAAGAAUUUAUUGGUUUCUUUUUUUUUUCUAGAAGAUUUCCAACUGCCCAGAUACCCCGUGCACCACGCCAGUUUGCUUCUGUGCCAGUUUUAUAAUUUCAAUUGAGAAAGCCUCUUCUACACGGAGGGUAAAGAGUUGACAAUUACCUCAGAGUUGAUUGGUUGGUUAGUUUUUUGGUGGGCUAAAAGCCAAUGACCUGGACUUUUUCCAUUUUUUUUUUUUUCCUCUUCACCAAAAAGCCCAAACCCAGGAAGCAAAACACUGAGUGCUGCUCUGGAGUCAGAGAGACCUAGGUGAAAGUCCGAGAUUCUAGUGUUUUCAGCUGUGUGACUGAGGACCAAAGUGAUGAGGAGGGAGGACCUCUCUUGCCCCGAUGAAUUUCUCAACUCAUCUCCAUCGACAGAGGAAUCUCAGUGUGCUGUGUUCCCCACCGCCUCUGCCUGAGCGCCCUGCCCCUGCCCGUCCCCAUCUUCAUCUGGCCAGUUCCUACUGCAAGAACCCUUCAGACACGAUCUCCUCAGAGAAACACUCGCUGACCUCCUGACCCUCACAGGGCCCCUGCUAUGCAUUCCUGGGGCCCUCCUUCUUUCCAUCCUCUUAACAGACCUGACAAGAUCAGCUUCCCCUCCUAAACCAUGAACUCUCUCAAGGACCUGGACUGUGCCUUGUUGUCUGUUCAACUGUGACCUCACUCUAGAUGGUAGAGCCCAAUGCCCAGCAUGCAAUUAACAGGAGCUGCCUGCAGACACAAGGCUGGCUCUGUGUCCCCUCCCAGCUGAGACACUGAGCCCCAGCACUAGGCACGUGGAUGGGUUGGGCACAUGACCUCCCUCCCUUUCUGAGCACCUUGCCCAUUCCAAGAGCUCACGGAAUCAGACUCCGCGACUGCCCUGAGUUCUGACUUCUCUCCCCAUCUCCCUGCACUUUGAUUCUCUUGACCAUGGGUCCUCCUCACUGCAUAUCCCCUGCCUGCUUGAGAAAAGGGAUGCAGCCCAGAUGGUCAAUAACCCCCUGAGGUCCUCCUCCUAGGAAUGUCUGUAUUUGCUCACAAAGAGAAGUUUAUAUAUAUAAAACCAAGAAACAAAUUUCUAAUGGUAUUAAUUGAAUUUUAGGCAGUAGCAGAAAGAAAAAAAGAUUUGGGAAGCAGGGAGUUUCACUUGAUUCCUGAAAUCACCUCUAGUAGGUAAUGCCCACCUCUGCUGUGUCUAAGAUCAGCCCUGACUCAAUCUUAGGAUUAGGCACCGCCUGCCAGCCAUGGCAGGACAGUCCACAGAUAUGUCCCCAGGUGGCCACUGUCACCUCCUUUCAGCCUGACCUCAGCUGGCUGUCCUCCUUGACAACAGUCCUCUCUGGCUGAAGACUGGAAACUGUAGGCUAGAGCUCCUGCUUUCCUUUCUGGGACUCUAACACAGUACCAGCCCAACUUUCCAUGCCUCUGUCAGGUCAGCAUGGUAUCAGAGAUGGCUGUUUGGCCACUCUCCUCCUGCAAUAAUACUCCACGCUCCACCAACCCCUGUUCCAUCUGAGAGCCACUCACAGUCAGCUCUGCCCGAGGUCCCUGAUAGAUUGGCUGGUGCCAAGGAUCCAUUGAGGAGAUGGCACAGAGCCACACAGGGGAGCAACAACAUUGGAAGAGGGCAAGGUCAAGUUGACAAAUACCAUAUACGAUCAGAAAGAAUUGCAUGAACCGCAGUGGCAUAAUGUAGCAUAACAGAUGGAUAAUUAGAUUUAUUCUAAGAGCUGUAAAAGUAAGUAAUUAAAUAAAAAUAUGGAACAAUGAA